ACACAAGAGAUUUAACGAGGUUCGGUAAAUUAUACCUACGUCCUCGGGCACUAACACCAGAUGAUAACUUUACUAUCUCCAAAAUAUUACAAACAAAUAGAAUUCCUUAAGAAUUCUCAAAUGGGAGAAGAGAGAAAACUAAGAGAGAAAGAUUGGUUGGGAUGGUUGAAAUGAAAAAUGAAAAGGCCUAUUUAUAGUUGAGGUUCAGGGACUAACUUGCAAAUGGCCUAAAAAAUUAGGGACCAAAAUUGCAAUUAUCCCAUUCAACUUUUCAACAUUCGGUGCAACUUGCUCAACCUUUAUAACAAGUUGCUUCCUACCUUUGUUGACUUUUCAACAAUCUCCACCUUGAAGAUUUGAUUAGGAUAAUCACAUCUUCACAUACUUCCUUCAACUCCCCAAAUUCGAUAAAGCUAUCUUUUGUAGUGCCUCCAAAUGCGCUCUCGAGCGCCAUACACCUAAAGGUGCUCAAAUUCUCAGGAUGUUAAUCAAGUUCAAACAAUGAUUAAACUUGAUUGUUGUUACCACCUUGGUCAUCAUAUCUGCGGGAUUAUCUGCUGUCGGAAUCAACAUAUCCAACUACAAACUGACCAAGUGCUUCAUCCUGUUCAAAAAUUAAACCAACAUCUACGGUUUUUCGAAGAUACCGUAGAAUCCAUUUCACAGCUUGCCAAUGUCCUUUUCCAGGAUCAUGCAUAUACCUGCUCACAACUCCAACAGCUUGUGAAAUGUCAGGCCUCGUACACACCAUCGCAUACAUCAAACUCCCAACUGCAUUAGCAUAUGGGACUUUUGCCAUAUAUUCUCUUUCAUCUUCAGUCUUCGGAGAUAAUUGAGCACUAAGUUUCAAAUGAGAAGCAAGUGGGGUACUUACAUGUUUUGUGUUUUCAUUUACACCAAAACAUUGUAAUACCUUUUUCAGAUAUUGCUUCUGAUUUAAACAGAGCUUGCCUCUCGGUCUAUCUCUACUUAUCUCCAUGCCGAGAAUCUUCUUGGCCUCACCUAGAUCUUUCAUCUCGAACUCUUGAUUCAACUGAGCCUUCAGCUUAUCUAUCUCAUUUUGGCUCUUCGAAGCGAUUAACAUAUCAUCAACAUACAAGAGUAGAUAAAUGAAAGAUCCGUCAUGCAGCUUCUGCAAAUACACACAAUUGUCAUAUUUGCUUCUUGUGUACUUCUGCCUUCUCAUAAAGCUAUCAAAUCGCUUGUACCACUGCCUCGGGGAUUGUUUCAAUCCAUAUAGCGAUUUGUUCAGCUUACAAACCCAGUUUCUACCACCAGCAUCUGUGUAUCCUUCGGGCUGAGUCAUAUAGAUCUCCUCUUCUAACUCACCAUGCAAGAAAGCCGUCUUAACAUCAAGUUGAGCUAGCUCCAAAUUCAACUGUGCUACCAAGGCCAACAAAAUUCUAAUGGAGGAAUGCUUCACAACAGGGGAAAAUACAUCAUUGUAGUCAAUUCCCUCCUUCUGAGCGUAGCCUUUAGCUACCAAUCUUGCCUUGUAGCGAAUAUCCUUCUUGCUAGGAGAUCCAUCUUUCUUUGCGAAUACCCACUUGCAUCCGAUUGCCCUUUUACCUUUUGGUAAUUGCGCCAACUCCCAAGUAUUGUUCUUCCGGAGAGACUGCAUUUCUUCAUCCAUGGCGCUUUUCCAUUUAUCACUUUCUAAGCUUUGCAUUGCUUCUUGAUAAGUGAUAGGAAUAUCAUCAACAACGGGAAGGGCGUAGGCCACCAUAUCAGUAAAUCGAGCAGGUUUACGAAUUUCUCUCCGUGGCCUUGCAACUGCAACUGGUUCUGGUGUACUUAGUGGUUCUUGGGUCAGAACCUCUUCAACCUCUAAUUCCUCCAUUGUGGCUGGAGAAUUAGACUUAUUAACUGGGCAAAUCCCCAUCUGCUCAAACUCCACCUGUUUUGGAGUACACUCCACCUGCUGUGGAGUAUUGCUCGUCUGAAUAUCUUUAUCUGCUACCUUUUUCAAUGUGGCAGAUUCAUCAAAGGUAACAUCUCUGCUACAGAUCAUUUUCUUUGUGCUUAAGCACCAAAGACGAAAUCCCUUCACUCCAGAAGUGAUUCCCAUAAAGAGAGCUUUCUUUGCCCUCGGAUCUAACUUUGACUCCUUCACAUGGUAAUAUGCAGUGGUUCCAAACACAUGUAAGGAAUCAUAAUCUGUAGCCGGUUUUCCAUACCAUACCUCCAUAGGAGUUUUUCUUUCUAAUGCAGAUGAUGGCAAAGGAUUAACAAGAUGGCCAGCGUAUGUCACAGCCUCAGCCCAAAAUUGCUUGCCCAACCCAGCAUUGGACAACAUACAUCGAACUUUCUCCAGCAAUGUUCGAUUCAUACGCUCUGCCACUCCAUUCUGUUGUGGUGUAUCCCUAACUGUGAAGUGUCGAACAAUACCAUACUCUUGGCACACAUCGAAGAACGGAUCACUUUUAUAUUCCCCUCCAUUGUCCGUCCUAAGCCGCUUGAUUUUCUUGCCAGUCUGGUUUUCGAUCAUAGUUUUCCAUUUAAGAAAAACUCCAAGCACUUCAUCUUUAGUUUUCAUGGUAUACACCCAAACUCUUCUGGAAAAGUCAUCAACAAAAGUAACAAAGUAGUGUUUUCCUCCCAACGAAGGUGUCUUGGAAGGCCCCCACACAUCUGAGUGAAUAUAUUCCAAAAUACCUUUCGUAUUAUGGAUAGCAGUGCCAAAUUUCACUCUCUUUUGCUUUCCCAGAACACAGUGCUCACAAAAUUUUAAUUUGCAAGCCUUUGCACCUUUCAACAAUCCUUGCUUUGCCAGAAUUUGCAAGGAUUUUUUGCUGGCAUGUCCCAACUUCAUAUGCCACAACUGCAUUGAGUCCAAGUCUUUGUUACCGGAAGCUGCAGCGACUGCUCCAAUAACUGUACUACCUUGGUAGUAAUACAAGUUAUUUUUCCUGAUGCCCUUCAAUAUUACAAGUGCGCCAGAUGUCACUUUCAAAAUCCCAUCUCUCAUAGUAACAACUGAACCAUUGGAUUCCAAGGCUCCCAAUGAGAUGAGAUUUUUCUUCAAACUGGGCACGUACCGAACAUCAGUCAGAACUCUGGUUGAUCCAUCUUGAUUCUUUAAUUGGAUUGAACCUAUCCCAACAGUUUUACAGGCAUUGUCAUUGCCCAUAUAAACAACUCCUCCAUUUAGUUCUACUAAAUCAGAGAACCACUCCCGGUUAGGGGACAUAUGAUAGGUACAACCCGAAUCCAAUAUCCACUCAUCUGAAUGGAACGACGAUGAUGAUGCAACCAGUGAUAGUUCAGAGUCACUAGUAUCAUGCUUAGCAACACAAGCAUCUACAGCAGCUUUUCCCUUAUUCUUCAGCUUUGGACAAUUUUUCUUCCAGUGGCCUUUCUCAUGACAAAAAGCACAUUCAUCUUUCCCGAGUCUGGACUUUGACUUUGAUCUCCCCUUUUGAGUUUUCUUCCGAGUGUAUAAACGACCUCGGACUACUAAAGCUUCUGUAUCUCUGAUUGAGUUUUUCUGUUUGUCCUUCUUUCUCUGUUCAUAACUGUAUAAGGCCGCACAGACUUCGCUCAGAGAUAUAUCACUCCUGCCAUGAAGUAGAGUAGUUUCUAGGAACUCAAACUCCUCAGGAAGUGACCCCAACAGCAUCAAAGCCAAAUCUUCAUCUUUGAAUGUCUCAUCCAUAUUCAGCAAAUCAGUGACUAACUGAUUAAAUUUGGUGAUGUGAUCAUUCAUUGUGGUACUUGGGACGUAUGUGAAGCGAAACAGUCUUUUCUUCAAGUGGAGCUUAUUUUGACUGUUUUUCUUCAAAAAUUUUUCUUCAAGUGCCACCCACAACUUAUUUGCAGAAGUCUCCUUUGAAAAAGCAUACCUCUGCUCUCGAGAAAGGCAUGAUCGAAUUGUGCCACAUGUCAACCGAUUGAUCGCCUUCCAAUCUUUCUCCUGUACAUCAUCUGGUUUCUCUUCAUCAAUGGCAAUGUCUAGACCCUGCUGAAAAAGGGCAUCUAGAACCUCACUUUGCCACAUACCAAAAUGGCCCGUGCCAUCAAAGAUCUCCACGGCCAAUCUUGCAUUUGCAAUUGUCGGUCUUGUCCACAUGGACGAUGUUGAAGCUCCUACACCGACCGUUUUCUCCAUAAUCUUUCAAUAUAUACCUAAGGAAAUCUUUUCUGAUGUGGAAGAUCAGUUUAAACUGCAACCACAGAGCAUACUACGAUUAACCUUCGGCUCUUGAUACCACUUGUUGUUCCAAUAGGGUCGGAAGCGUGUAAAUUAUUGUACUAAAAAAUCACACAAAGUUCAAUUCCCAGGGAAGAGAGGUGGAUCACAUGGAUCUCUUAAAUACCAAGUCUUUCCUUAGACAGAAUAUCCCUUCUAUAGUAAUUUAAUAGCACAAUUAAAUACUACUAUUAUACCCUCAAAUAUUGAAAGAAAAAUAGGACAAGAAAGAACACAAGAGAUUUAACGAGGUUCGGUAAAUUAUACCUACGUCCUCGGGCACUAACACCAAAUGAUAACUUUACUAUCUCCAAAAUAUUACAAACAAAUAGAAUUCCUUAAGAAUUCUCAAAUGGGAGAAGAGAGAAAACUAAGAGAGAAAGAUUGGUUGGGAUGGUUGAAAUGAAAAAUGAAAAGGCCUAUUUAUAGUUGAGGUUCAGGGACUAACUUGCAAAUGGCCUAAAAAAUUAGGGACCAAAAUUGCAAUUAUCCCAUUCAACUUUUCAACAUUCGGUGCAACUUGCUCAACCU
rnacentral:lncRNA from 1 species